rnacentral:rRNA from 1 species
GUGUCUCAGUUCCAGUGUGGCCGAUCACCCUCUCAGGUCGGCUACGUAUCGUUGCCUUGGUAAGCCGUUACCUUACCAACUAGCUAAUACGGCGCAGGUCCAUCUAUAAGUGAUAGCAAAGCCAUCUUUCACUAUCGAACCAUGCGGUUCGAAAUAUUAUCCGGUAUUAGCUCCGGUUUCCCGAAGUUAUCCCAGUCUUAUAGGUAGGUUACCUACGUGUUACUCACCCGUCCGCCGCUAACGUCGAAGGAGCAAGCUCCUCGUCUGUUCGCUCGACUUGCAUGUAUUAGGCACGCCGCCAGCGUUCAUCCUGAGCCAGGAUCAAACUCU